UAGCAUUGCAUUAUUCUCCACUAAUCCAAGCAGAGCAUCCUCUGAUACAGUCAACGCUACCACAACAACACGGAUCCAACACUCACUCUCUCUUACAACCAUCUUGUUCCGAAUCGAAGAAGCUAUGCCACAUCCCCGCCCUCUCCAUCUACACCCGCCUCGCCGUGUUCUCCAUCACCGUCGUCACCCACUCCUUCGCCGGCCACCUCCAUCUCCUGCACCCUCCUCAUCUCCAUCACCUUCGGUUUCUUGGAAGUAACCCACCCCAUCCAAAACACUUUCCACUUACCACCACCUUUCUUUCACUAUUUCCCACUAUUUUAUUCGCAAAUGUUAAUCGUUAGUUUGGUAGUUUUUGUUAAAGAGAUUAUUCCUCUUUUUUUAGUUGGGUAUGGUUAGUGCGCUUGAGACACUAUGCGGCCAGGCCUACUGCGCAGGACAUCACCGCAUGUUGGGCGUUUACUUGCAACGCUCGCGGGUUGUUCCUGUCUUCCAUUCUGAUGUUGCCGGUGUUCAUUUUUGUCACGCCCGUGUUGAAGUUAAUAGGGAAACCUAUUGCGGUGGCGGAACAGGCGGGUUUAGUGGCGCUUUGGUUGAUCCGUUUCACCUGAGCUCCCCGUUCCAGUUCACUUUGCAGCGGUUUCUUCAGUGCCAGUUGAAGACUGACAUCAUUGCUUGGGUUUCAAGGUGACUCUUGUAAAAUUUGUAAGAUUUUUUUAUAUUAAUAAUUAUAGGAAAUAAACAUGAUAUUGAAAUCUAUGUUUCAUAAAUAAUAAAUAAUUUAUAAACAAUAUGUAUAUUUUUUUAUAAUUAGACUUCUCUCACUUGCACAAAGAGACUUUAUUUUACAUUAGUAAAUAUUAAUUCUCUUUAUAACUAUUACUUUCAUUAGUUGCUUUUAAAAAUUUCUGUUAUUUAAUCUAAUUACAAUUUAAUUUUUAAUUAUUAUUUACUUAUUUAUUAAUUCUUACUUUAGUCACAUAUCUUUCAUAUCAUAUUUUAAUUCUAACACUAUUCAUGUUAUAGUGAGUUAGGUUUUUGUUUAAAGGAUAAGAAAUGGGAUUGUUGGCACUGCUCUUUCUAUUGGUUUCUCGUGGUGGCUCUCUGUUUUGGGAAUGCUCGGGUAUCCACUCUUUGGUGGGUGCCCUCGCUCGUGGACUGGUUUUUCUGCUGAAGCUUUUAUUGGUCUUUGGGAAUUCUUUAAACCGUCUUUGGCUUCUGGGGUCAUGCUUGCGUUAGUCUUCUUUCUACCACUGUAGUAUUGUUUGGAUAAACCUGUCCGGGAGUACUAAGAAAUUUGUGUUAUUUAACUUUUUCAAAAGCUGAGCUGAAUACCUUCUAUUUUCUUUUCUGAAUGUUGAUUAAGAAAUUAGGGUAAAAUGGACCUUGCUUAGGACAACAGUUGGAUAAAGUUCUAAGUAGUUUCUUAUCUUGAAGUCUUUGAAAGAUAUUUUUUUUAAUUACAAAUAUUAAUUAUUAGUUCGUUAAUUUUCUAAUAAAAAAAAUUUAAACAUGUAAGCUUUGUAUCUUUUCUUCUCUGUCAAUCAUUAGAUUAAUCUUAUAACUUCUCCCAUUGAAAGUUAAGUGAGUUGUCAUCAUAAUAUUGACAAUAUUUGAUGUAAUAUUAUGGGAGUGGCUGUUGGAUCCGGAUGGCAAGCACAUGUAGCAUACAUAAAUAUAGGAUGCUACUACCUUAUCGGGCUCCCCUCGGAAUUAUCAUGGGCUGGGUCUUCAAAAGUGAUGUAACUGGAAUCUUGGGCGGGCAUGAUCUUCGGUGGCACAGCAAUCCAAACGCUGAUACUGAUUAUAGUAACGAUACGAUGUGAUUGGGAAAAGGAGGGGAGAAAGCUUGCUUUCGUGUAAAUAAGUGGUCAAAAAAUCCAACUCCAACGGCCAACUGAAAACCUACAAUUAACAUUAAUUGAUUUAGCCGAUGGAGUUUGCUAUUCGCCAAUCUGAGGUCUGUGAGUUAAUGAUGGAGUUUUGGCGUUGUAUGCGUAUAGUAUAUUGUUCUUUCAAUAUAGUUGUUGUAUUCAAAAUUAAAGGCCCGGUUAUUCUUUAGGAUAGCUAUGUCUGUCAAUAUGUUUUACAUUCGCAGUUGAACUUUUGAGAUCCCCGCUCACCGACAACCCAGUUCUAAUUCCAACCUAUGCUUUUACUUCA